rnacentral:rRNA from 1 species
AUCCUGGCUCAGGAAGAACGCUAGCGGCAGGCCUUAUACAUGCAAGUCGAGGGGCAGCAUUACUUCGGUAAAUGGCGACCGGCGCACGGGUGAGUAACGCGUAUGCAACCUACCUUCAACUGGGGCAUAGCUCGAGAAAACUCGAAUUAAUUCCCCAUAGUACGUUAUAAUAUCUCAUGAUAUAAAUGUUAAAGAUUUAUCGGUUAAAGAUGGGCAUGCGUCUGAUUAGUUUGUUGGUAAGGUAACGGCUUACCAAGACUACGAUCAGUACGGGGUCUGAGAGGAUGAUCCCCCACACUGGUACUGAGACACGGACCAGACAUCUACGGAUGGCAGCAGUAAUGAAUAUUGGGCAAUGGGCGCAAGCCUUGACCCAGCCAUGCCGCGUGCAGGAUGACGACCCUAUGGGUUGUCAACUGCUUUUAUAUAGGAAGAAAAUACUCUUGCGAGAGGAUCUGACGGUACUAU